AUUGAACGCUGGCGGCAGGCCUAACACAUGCAAGUCGAGCGGGGUUUUCGGACCUAGCGGCGGACGGGUGAGUAAUGCGUAGGAAGCUACCCGAUAGAGGGGGAUACCAGUUGGAAACGACUGUUAAUACCGCAUAAUGUCUACGGACCAAAGUGUGGGACCUUCGGGCCACAUGCUAUCGGAUGCGCCUACGUGGGAUUAGCUAGUUGGUGGGGUAAUGGCUCACCAAGGCGACGAUCCCUAGCUGGUUUGAGAGGAUGAUCAGCCACACUGGAACUGAGACACGGUCCAGACUCCUACGGGAGGCAGCAGUGGGGAAUAUUGGACAAUGGGCGCAAGCCUGAUCCAGCCAUGCCGCGUGUGUGAAGAAGGCCUUCGGGUUGUAAAGCACUUUCAGUAGGGAGGAAGGAUGUUGUGUUAAUAGCACAGCAUUUUGACGUUACCUACAGAAGAAGCACCGGCUAACUCUGUGCCAGCAGCCGCCGUAAAAC
rnacentral:rRNA from 1 species